rnacentral:rRNA from 1 species
ACGAACGCUGGCGGCGUGCUUAACCCCUGCAAGUCGAACGAUGAAGAAGAGAAACGCGAACUUCGGUUCAAAUUUCACUUCGGAUUAGUGGCAGACGGGUGAGUAACGCGUGAGCAACCUACCUCUUACAAAGGGAUAGCCUCGGGAAACCGUGAUUAAUACCAUAUGACACAUUCAUAAGGCAUCUUAAGAAUGUUAAAGCUACGGCGGUAAGAGAUGGGCUCGCGUCCCAUUAGCUAGUUGGUGAGGUAACGGCCCACCAAGGCGACGAUGGGUAACCGGCCUGAGAGGGUGAACGGUCACAGUGGAACUGAGACACGGUCCAAACUCCUACGGGAGGCAGCAGUGGGGAAUAUUGCACAAUGGAGGGAACUCUGAUGCAGCGACGCCGCGUGAGCGAUGAAGGAAUUCGUUUCGUAAAGCUCUGUUCUAUGGGAAGAAAAGGACUGUACCAUAGGAGAAAGCCCCGGCUAAAUACGUG